CACAUCAAUUCUAAAAAAACUUGGUCUGCUACUUUACUUACGAUGGUAUUGGUUUACUCCAACGAUAAUGGCUAGCUAGGAUAGCCUUUCUUUAUGUCUUAAUUAUUGAUAGUGCUAUCAUCAUGGCAGGCUAUGUUGGAGCAAAAACUGUGCAGGCAAAGACAUAAGAGUGAUGGCUUUUGGAAUGAAAUGCAGAGGAUAUCCUUUUGCGCUGCUUAAAGAAGAGCUCAACAUGAGGGUGCAAGAGAGCUAUUGGUACAAUAAAGAAAGGAAAAGUUGUACGCCACUACAGCACUACGCUGGGUGCUAGCCAACAUGAUAACAGUACUUACAAGAUAACAAUAACAAUAUAAAAAUGAUUAAGAUAGUGAAGGAAUGGUGAGGAUUGGAAGGCAGAUGAGUGUACAAGUGAGAGGAAGAUUGAAGAAGAAAGCAGUAAAAUGCAGUUGGGUCCUUAAUGCACUCCUAAUGAAUAGAUUGAGAAGUUUAAGGAUGUUGAGAGUUUGAGAAAUGCUGGAGGUAUCAUCAUCUCAGCUUCUGAUUUUUAAAACCAUCCAUCAUGGAACCUUGAAUUUUUUUUAUUAUUUAAAUUUUUAUUUAUAUACAAUAAGGUCCGGAUAGUAUAGGUAUAAUUUUUAAUUAAAUUCUUGAAUCUUUGAAUUUUAUAUCAAUUUCAUUUGACGUUAAUCAGUCAUUGUUUGUAGAUUGCCAAUAAUCAAAGUGAUUAAUCACUAAUUGGAAAUA